rnacentral:rRNA from 1 species
ACGGAGGAUCCAAGCGUUAUCCGGAAUUACUGGGCGUAAAGAGUUGCGUAGGUGGCAGAGUAAGCGAGGUGUGAAAGCGUACGGCUCAACCGUAUAUACAUGCUUUGAACUGCUCAGCUAGAGGACAAGAUAGGUCACUGGAAUUCCUAGUGUAGGAGUGAAAUCCGUAGAUAUUAGGAGGAACACCAAUGGCGUAGGCAGGUGACUGGCUUGUUCCUGACACUAAGGCACGAAAGCGUGGGGAGCGAACGGGA